GCCGGCCAGCUUCGGCCGGGGGAGGAAUGGCCUGGAUAACCGGGGCAUCGCGGCGCUCCUCGGCCUCCUGCAGCUGCGUUUCAAAGCAGAGCCGACCCUUGAGAUGAGGUCUCCCCGUGUUGCUCAAGCUGGUCUCAAACUCAUGGGCUCAUGUGAUCCUCCUGCCUUGGCCUCCCAAAGUGCUGGGAUGACAGAUCACCAUCUUUGAUAAGCUAUACCUACUAAAAGAUGUGAAGCAGACAC